AACCUAGCACACCUGCGGUGUGUACCUGCGGAAGGAUCAUUACCGAGUUAGGGUCUUUUGGCCCGACCUCCAACCCUUUGUUUAUUAUACCAUGUUGCUUUGGUGGGCCUGCCUUUCGGGGCUGCCGGGGGCAUCACUGCCCCUGACUCGUGCCUGCCAGGAGCCUUUUUAAAUUCAGUGUUCAACAGUGCUGUCUGAGUCCCAGUAUCAGAAUAUCACAAAAACUUUCAACAAUGGAUC
rnacentral:misc_RNA from 1 species